AAGGCGUUGCCUGACCCUGACC
rnacentral:miRNA from 1 species